UUUAAUACGGGAAAGAGGGAAUAUUAUUUUGCAAUAUUUCUUUAUUCCUUUUACACAUUAAGAAGCAUAGUUGAAGUCAAACAUACAAUGACAAUCUAAAUGCAACAUUUACAUUUACAUCUAGUUUGAACACAUACACCACACACACUCACAACUCGAACCCCCAACCUAUGGUAAACAUGCGUUGGGUAAUAUAUAUACCACUAGGC
rnacentral:lncRNA from 1 species